UAGGGAAUCUUCCGCAAUGGGCGAAAGCCUGACGGAGCAACGCCGCGUGAGUGAUGAAGGUCUUCGGAUCGUAAAACUCUGUUAUUAGGGAAGAACAAAUGUGUAAGUAACUAUGCACGUCUUGACGGUACCUAAUCAGAAAGCCACGGCUAACUACGUGCCAGCAGCCGCGGUAAUACGUAGGUGGCAAGCGUUAUCCGGAAUUAUUGGGCGUAAAGCGCGCGUAGGCGGUUUUUUAAGUCUGAUGUGAAAGCCCACGGCUCAACCGUGGAGGGUCAUUGGAAACUGGAAAACUUGAGUGCAGAAGAGGAAAGUGGAAUUCCAUGUGUAGCGGUGAAAUGCGCAGAGAUAUGGAGGAACACCAGUGCCGAAGGCGACUUUCUGGUCUGUAACUGACGCUGAUGUGCGAAAGCGUGGGGAUCAAACAGG
rnacentral:rRNA from 1 species